CAGGGGAUCUUCCCAACCCAGGGAUCGAACCCGCAGUCUCUUACAUCUCCUGUGUUGGCGGUUCUACCAUCCUCUCCACGUUGGCUUCAUAUGUAUCUUCCACAAAUGACUGCGUCCGUGAAGCUGUGUGAAAUGACUGCAAGCAGCCCCAGCAUGAAGCUCACCAUCCUGGAAUUGUGCUCCUCAAAGAGAGGAGUGGGAGGGGGUACCCCCUAGAAAGCAUCUUGGAAAUUUGUGGGGAUGGUUGGGGUUGUCAUGGUGAUGGUGGGGAGCUACUGUUUGAAUUUCAUGCUAGACAUCCUAUGGAGCAUAGGGCACUCCUAUACAAAGAAGAGUUCUUAUGUUCUAUGCCAGUUUCUAAUGUCCCACUGGACAUUCAUGUAGGUAGAACGCCUAUUUAUAAUGAACUGAGCCUAGACUUAACCCCAUUUUAUAUAUAAAGCCAUUUGCACACUCAUCUUUAAUUGAGAUAUACAUAACAUAAUGACAUAACUUUAGUGUCAGGCAUACAGUAUAAUGUUUCAAUACCUAUAUACAUUGUGAAACGAUCACCACAAUGUCUAGUUAAGUUCUAUCACCACACCAAGUUAUAUAUUUUUUCCUUGUAAUGAGAACUUUUAAGAUCUAUGCUCUUAGCCACUUUCAAGUAUACAAUAUAGUAUUAAUAACUGUAGUCACCAUUGUAUUACAUUCCUAUGAUUUAUUUUAUAACUGGAAGAUUUUAUCUUUUGAUCUCUUUCACCCAUUUUGUCCACUGUCCAACCCCUACCUCUGACAACCACCACCUGUUCUGUAUCUAUGCACUUGCUGUGCUGUGCUUAGUUGCUCAGUCGGGUCCUACUCCUUGCAACCCCAUGGACUAUAGCCCGCCAACCUCCUCUGUCCAUGGGAAC